rnacentral:rRNA from 1 species
UACGUAGGGGGCAAGGGUUGUCCGGAUUUAUUGGGCGUAAAGAGCUCGUAGGGGGUUUGGUAAGUCGGAUGUGAAAUCUCCAGGCUCAACCUGGAGGGGUCAUUCGAUACUGCCAUGACUAGAGGUCGGUAGGGGAGUGUGGAAUUCCUGGUGGAGCGGUGAAAUGCGCAGAUAUCAGGAGGAACACCCGUCGCGAAGGCGGCACUCUGGGCCGAUUCUGACACUGAGGAGCGAAAGCGUGGGGAGCGAACAGG